UACGGAGGGGACUAGCGUUGUUCGGAAUUACUGGGCGUAAAGCGCACGUAGGCGGAUUUGUAAGUCAGGGGUGAAAUCCCGGGGCUCAACCUCGGAACUGCCUUUGAUACUGCAAAUCUCGAGUCCGGAAGAGGUGAGUGGAAUUCCUAGUGUAGAGGUGAAAUGCGUAGAUAUCUGGAGGAACACCGGUGGCGAAGGCGGCAUCCUGGACCGACACUGACACUGAGGAGCGAAAGCCAGGGGAGCAAACGGG
rnacentral:rRNA from 1 species